CUACUGCAGUCGAGCGGCAGCGCGGGAGCAUCCUGGCGGCGAGCGGCGAACGGGUGAGUAAUGCUUCGGAAUCUGCCCUUCAGUGGGGAAUAACCAGCCAAAAGGUUGGCUAAUACCGCAACGACUGAGGUUGAAAGCAGGGGAUCGCAUGACCUUGCGCUGAUGGAUGAGCCGAAGUCGGAUUAGCUAGUUGGUGGGGUAACGGCCCACCAAGGCGACGAUCCGUAGCUGGUCUGAAAGGACGACCAGCCACACUGGGACUGAGACACGGCCCAGACUCCUACGGGAGGCAGCACUGGGGAAUAUUGGACAAUGGGGGCAACCCUGAUCCCGCGACGCCACGUGUGUGAAGAAGGCCUGCGGGUUGUAAAGCACUUUUAGUGGGGAGGAAGGUCUGCGACCUAACACGUCGCGGAUUUGACUUAACCCACAAAAAAAGCACCGGCUAACUCUGUGCCAGCAC
rnacentral:rRNA from 1 species